rnacentral:lncRNA from 1 species
AUGGCUGCUCUGGCUGAACUACAGUUUCCGGUUGAUGGCAGCCAGGUCUCGCGAGUCUCUGGCGGCUCAACAGUGAUCGCGCGUGAACAGCACAGCUGUACUGAGGUAACCAGAAAACUGCGUUUUUUGCGUCGAUCUGAUCUUCAAACUCGGUUUUUAAAACGAUGGACAUGUUGGACAUGGUAUUACAACAAACAGACUGUCGACAUUCCGAGAGAGAAUCCAGCAUCUUUAUCUUGUGAUGUGUGGGUUCUGCUUAAGAAGUGGCACCCUCAGAGACGCCACCAUCGGGAGAAGGGAUUAUUGUGGACAAGCCUGAGUCGGAUCAGGAAGCUGUUAGCAGGAGGCUCUGAUUCUUCAGUCAUCAACACAGCUCAAGCAAACUGCUCCAGACCUCAUGUGUUUCAGCAGAGAAAUUUGCGUCGCUGCAAGGAUCUGCUCUCCAUUCAGACCAACCUGUCCAUUAACAAAGCCAAACCACGGCAUCGUAAGAGGUCACGAUCUGUGGUCUGGCCGCCCAUCGCUGGCUGGCAGUCUUCUGUGAAAAGGAAGCCUUCCUUGAACAGCACAUUAUCUCAGCAGCUUUAUCCACUCGACCUUAGUGUGAAGCAGAAGGACAAACUUCUUGUAGAUGACAAGAUUUCAAGAUUAAAUGCAGAUUUGAAGCAGAACUCAGAGGUCUCUAGCAAACAGAGGACGACUAAUGUCCGGGGUAAAUCGAACAAGCAGGAAGUGUCUGAUGGCAUAGACGGAACGCGGCGGGUGCUGAAGUUUGAUGACACCACUAAAACUGUUGCUGUGGAAACAGCGGAACAGAGGAAAAGCCCUCGGCAGAAGCACAAACGUGGAGAGAUUCGUGAAGCUCAGAAUGGUUUCCAGAAUGAGCAGCAGGAAGAGAUUUCUGAGGAUUUGGAUGGGUUCAGGACACCCACAGAUCUGUUCAGCGUGAAGCCCAAGAUUAAACGAGGGAACCAGAAGAAAGUGUCUGCGUCUGGUGUUACAAAACCUGCCGUACAGAAGCCCAACUUCAUGUCAAUGUUAUCCACACUGGUGAAGAAUCAGAACCAGAUUAUUAAGGAAUCCUGCAAAUGA